GACGAACGCUGGCGGCGUGCCUAAUACAUGCAAGUAGAACGCUGAAGCUUGGUGCUUGCACCGAGCGGAUGAGUUGCGAACGGGUGAGUAACGCGUAGGUAACCUGCCUGGUAGCGGGGGAUAACUAUUGGAAACGAUAGCUAAUACCGCAUAAAAUGGAUUAUCGCAUGAUAAUCCAUUGAAAGGUGCAAAUGCAUCACUACCAGAUGGACCUGCGUUGUAUUAGCUAGUUGGUGGGGUAACGGCUCACCAAGGCGACGAUAUAUAGCCGACCUGAGAGGGUGAUCGGCCACACUGGGACUGAGACACGGCCCAGACUCCUACGGGAGGCAGCAGUAGGGAAUCUUCGGCAAUGGACGGAAGUCUGACCGAGCAACGCCGCGUGAGUGAAGAAGGUUUUCGGAUCGUAAAGCUCUGUUGUAAGAGAAGAACGAGUGUGAGAGUGGAAAGUUCACACUGUGACGGUAUCUUACCA
rnacentral:rRNA from 1 species